rnacentral:miRNA from 1 species
GAAUUUUCCGCGCGGAGCGGAAUUUCUCUUUGUCUUUUCCAAUUAGUUCCAGCCGAGAAAUCACAAGACAGAAAAAUUCCGCUCCGCGCGGAAAAUUCCGCUUAGC